GCUUACGGGCACACCGCCUGGUUCACGCCCGAUCUCGUUUGAUCUCGGAAGCUAAGAUAGGUUGGGCCUGGUUAGUACUUGGAUGGGAGACCGCCUGGGAUUACCAGGUGCUGUGGGCU
rnacentral:rRNA from 1 species